rnacentral:rRNA from 1 species
UACGUAGGGGGCGAGCGUUGUCCGGAUUUAUUGGGCGUAAAGAGCUCGUAGGCGGCUUGGCAAGUCUGGUGUGAAACCUCCAGGCUCAACCUGGAGACGCCACUCGAUACUGCUAUGGCUAGAGUCCGGUAGGGGACCACGGAAUUCCUGGUGUAGCGGUGAAAUGCGCAGAUAUCAGGAGGAACACCGGUGGCGAAGGCGGUGGUCUGGGCCGGCACUGACGCUGAGGAGCGAAAGCGUGGGUAGCAAACAGG